CUUGACCGACCCCAGCCACAGCGGUCGGUCCGCGUCCCGGUCCCGACCGUAGGUGGCCAGCAGCGCCUCGGCCUC
rnacentral:antisense_RNA from 1 species